GAUUUCGGGUGGGUUGUAGCGGUCUGCCACUGGUAUGUACUGCUAUGAGCUCACCUUUCUGCUGGGGACGGGCUCCUGAGGCUUAACUGUCUGGGAUCUCGGAAUCAGCGAAGUGACCUUGAGCAAAAGUGAGUGUUCAAAGCAAGCCUACGCUCUGAAACAUUUAGCAUGGAAUCACACGAUAGGACUCUGGCCUAUCUUGUUGGUCUGUAGGACCGGAGUAAUGAUUAAGAGGGACAGUCGGGGGCAUUCGUAUUUCAUUGUCAGAGGUGAAAUUCUUGGAUUUAUGAAAGACGAACAUCUGCGAAAGCAUUUGCCAAGGAUGUUUUCAUUGAUCAAGAACGAAAGUUGGGGGCUCGAAGACGAUUAGAUACCGUCGUAGUCUCAACCAUAAACGAUGCCGACUAGGGAUUGGCAGGUGUUUCGUUGAUGACCCUGCCAGCACCUUAUGAGAAAUCAAAGUUUUUGGGUUCCGGGGGGAGUAUGGUCGCAAGGCUGAAACUUA
rnacentral:rRNA from 1 species